GUAGUCCACGCCGUAAACGAUGGAUACUAGCUGUCCGUCCGCCGUUGGGCGGAUGGGUGGCCAAGCGAAAGUGAUAAGUAUCCCACCUGGGGAGUACGUUCGCAAGAAUGAAACUCAAAGGAAUUGACGGGGGCCCGCACAAGCGGUGGAGCAUGUGGUUUAAUUCGAUGAUACGCGAGGAACCUUACCAGGGCUUAAAUGCAGUCGGACAGGGGCGGAAACGCCCCCUUCUUCGGACUGAUUGCAAGGUGCUGCAUGGUUGUCGUCAGCUCGUGCCGUGAGGUGUCAGGUUAAGUCCUAUAACGAGCGCAACCCCUGCCGUUAGUUGCCAGCGAGUAAAGUCGGGAACU
rnacentral:rRNA from 1 species